rnacentral:rRNA from 1 species
AAAGCGUGCGCAGGCGGUUAUGUAAGACAGAUGUGAAAUCCCCGGGCUCAACCUGGGAACUGCAUUAGUGACUGCAUAGCUGGAGUACGGCAGAGGGGGAUGGAAUUCCGCGUGUAGCAGUGAAAUGCGUAGAUAUGCGGAGGAACACCGAUGGCGAAGGCAAUCCCCUGGGCCUGUACUGACGCUCAUGCACGAAAGCGUGGGGAGCAAACAGGAUUAGAUACCCCAGU